rnacentral:lncRNA from 1 species
CGACAUGCUUGCAAUGUCAAGUGCCUCAAGUGUGGGAAGUGGGGAAGCAACAACGCGCGUGCUCAGAGUCUUUGAUAAUGACAGUGGAUGUCACAAAUUUGAUGCCGUGUGGGGCUGAUUGGCUGUUUACCAGGUAGUUUUCUGUAGUUGACGGAAGUUUCUCUCAAAGAGCAAAACGGUGUUUAUUUCAGAGAAUACAGUAACUGCGGUUACCAUGGACAAUGUGGAAAAUGUUAUGUUAAACACCUCGGUGCCCACCAGACGCCGGAUAUUUUGUUAAACCAAACCGUUGGUCAAAUAUAACGGGAGUGGUUCUUCCGGGAACGGCUAACUGCUAGCUUGUCAGGAGACUCUUCGUUGCUUUCCCUGUGUGUUCAGAGGAGAUUCACCUGGUCAAAAACAAAUUGACAGCCCAUACAAACGGGGAAUUGAACAGUAACAUGUGGAGGAGAAGAACAGUGAGUCAUCCUCCCAAGGUCAGCAAAUGGCCACCCUGUUUACUGAGCUUUCGUGCCCACCAAGGGUUCUCGAUCCUGGCUUCCACUCCAACCCCUGUGGUUCAGUUAUCUGCACGCCAGCACCAGAGGGCAGCUGCAUCGAGGCUUGCAUCAGGUGACCCAUGCUAAAAGGUCUGCUGUUUCACUCAACCAUUGACAUUCAGCCGACCUCAUUCCAUAUCAUCUCUUGGUUCAAAAGUUCAUGUGAAGAGGCGCCUGUGUACCAAGCAUUAGUUCUCUGCCCAGUCUGCUCUCUCUCCC